UACGAAGGGGGCGAGCGUUGUUCGGAAUUACUGGGCGUAAAGCGCGUGUAGGCGGUCUUGUAAGUCGGAUGUGAAAGCCCUGGGCUCAACCCAGGAAGUGCACUCGAUACUGCGAGGCUAGAGUAUCGGAGAGGUUGGUGGAAUUCUCGGUGUAGAGGUGAAAUUCGUAGAUAUCGAGAGGAACACCGGUGGCGAAGGCGGCCAACUGGACGAAUACUGACGCUGAGACUCGAAAGCGUGGGGAGCAAACAGG
rnacentral:rRNA from 1 species